CCGGAACGACCGCUUCGGCGUGGUCCGUCUCGUGGCGACGUGGAGGCGAUACACGGACCGCUUGGAUUCUCCAGGGUGACGAGGAUCAUCCCCCUGUAAUGGAGCAAAUAACGGAAUCUAAGGGAAGCUAGCUCCGAGCAUUAUCAUCUUUUCUCCAAACGCACGGUCACGUCACGGAACGCUGUCGGGAAGAAUCCGGAAACUAGGACGACUUCAAAAAUCCGAGGGCAGAGGAAGAGGAGAGAGGCCCGUCCCGGCCAGAGACGGAACGGGAAAGCGCACCGGCCCCCCCAGAGGACUCCGCUUCGUCCGAGCGAGAAGGCGGCCCCUCCCCGGAUCCUUUGGGAGGUCCCCCCGUGGACCCGGGGUGACGUCCGGUUUGUGGUGUUUUGGAGCCGGCACAUUCUGUACAAACGGCGGAAGAGAGCGGAACCGAGCGACCGGGUCCCGACUGCCGUCCGGCCGACCCUGACAAAGCCUCCCGCCCCCCUGGCGUUCCCCCGGCUCUGAGGAUGGUGACCGUGCGGCCCCGGGAGACAUUGGAUUCAAGGGAAGGUGUUGGUUUUGGGGAAAAGU